rnacentral:rRNA from 1 species
CGACGAACCAUCCUGUUGAUUGAAGCUUGCUUCUUGAUUCAGAUUUUGGUGAGUGGCGGACGGGUGAGUAACACGUGGGUAACCUGCCCAAAAGUGGGGGAUAACAUUUGGAAACAAGUGCUAAUACCGCAUAACAACUGCUUUCACAUGAUCGCAGCUUGAAAGAUGGCUCUGCUAUCGCUUUUGGAUGGACCCGCGGCGUAUUAGCUAGUUGGUGAGGUAAUAGCUCACCAAGGCAAUGAUACGUAGCCGACCUGAGAGGGUAAUCGGCCACAUUGGGACUGAGACACGGCCCAAACUCCUACGGGAGGCAGCAGUAGGGAAUCUUCCACAAUGGGCGAAAGCCUGAUGGAGCAAUGCCGCGUGAGUGAAGAAGGUUUUCGGAUCGUAAAACUCUGUUGUUGAAGAAGAACAUGCGUGAGAGUAACUGUUCACGUACUGACGGUAUUCAACCAGAAAGCCACGGCUAACUACGUGCCAGCAGCCGCGGUAAUACGUAGGUGGCAAGCGUUGUCCGGAUUUAUUGGGCGUAAAGAGAAUGUAGGCGGUUUAUUAAGUUUGAAGUGAAAGCCCUCGGCUCAACCGAGGAAGUGCUUCGAAAACUGGUAAACUUGAGUGCAGAAGAGGAAAGUGGAACUCCAUGUGUAGCG